UUCCUUCUUCCAAGUGGAGUGCACUGGAGUUCAGCAACCAACACAGAGAACCCAGAAACCAGGCCAGCAGAACCCGUGAUACAGAUGUGUGUUGGCGUCUUGAAGAAGUCCCAAGGGGACUCUGGCCAGGUCAGAGCUGGGAGUAGAAACCCCCAAGUGAGGCAGCCUCAGUUGAGGAACUCUGGAAAGAGAAUCUCCUGUUUCCCAGAGGCAGAGAGUGAGCAGAAUGGACCAUAGGGCAGAUAUCUGGAUAGAAGAGAGCCUGCCGAGUGCUAAUAAAAGAUUUUCCCAUCCCUGCCUAUCUGGAGAAGACAUUCCCUGGGAAUGGAAGAGAAGGUAAUCAACCUGAACGAGGACCCUGAUAGAGGUUCUGAAUGCUUCCCUCGUCCUGGUAUAACCCAGAAGAGACGGUCCUCAACGCCCUUCUCAAACUUUGGUUUUCUUGCCUAGUGUGUGGACUUGGAUGCCCACCAGGGCCUUUCCUCCUCGCGGAGUGGCAGCAUGAGCUGCAAAUGGAACUGGGGCUGCGAUGCUGGUGAGUUACUUAAUUGACUGCUCAUGAAAAGUGGACUUCAUGAACUCAUGGGGAAAGAAAGAAACCAUAUUCAAAUCCAGAACAUCUUCCUGAAGAAAAGAAAGAAAACAGAUCAUUAAAACAGUUUUGUUUUGUUUUGUUUUUAAAGAACUCCUAAAGAAAAGGCACCCCAGAUGAAAGGCUGGUUUCUCCUGUAGGUGUUUUUUGUAUUUUUCUGUGUUAUUAGAGGUGAAAGCUGUUAGGUACAAAGCCUGGCCUACUUCAAAAGCUGGAGGUCUUGCCUUAAGGCAUCAUAAUUAUUUUAGGUUCAACCUUCUGUGGUAUCACAGCUACAAUGUAAAAAGGGAAAAUGCCUAGAGUUGAGGUUUAUUUUAAAUUACAUUAAAAAAAUACAAGAUAUAAACUAGAAAGCACACAAUGUAAGAACUCUAAAAUGUGGGAAAAAAAAAUAUGUGUCAGACCGAUGAUAAAAUGUAAUGGAAAGAAACAUGGAAGAGUUGAUCUUGUGCAAACUAGAACGCCAUUUUAAUUCCUUUACUACGUCUUUAGAAAAUGUUUCUUUACUAUUCCUUCAGGUUAUUCAUACUGACUGAUAAUGUCAAAGCGGUAGUAACUUGAAAAAAAGAAUGUUACACUGAUAAAAUUCCAUUUAUUUUAUUCAGACCCAGAACGGGUAUUUGAGCCGGUGUAACAGAUGGGUUAUGUGAACAUUGCAAGUAAUUUGGGCACAGUACUAUAAAUAUGCAAGUAAAUGUCACUACUUAAAGGGAUUUACGUAUUCAGCAAUUAUUAGAUAUUCAGUAAAUUAUUUUGUAAAGAGAUCAAUCUUUUUGUAUAGGCAUUAUCACUCUAAAUAUAUCUGAAUUUUCACAUACCGAGAUGUUCUACAGUGAGGCAGGGCUGUGUUUUAUCAUCUUAUUAUUUCUGAUUGGCUUGGUUUUUUUUAAAGAGUCUUGUACAAUUUGUACUGCUAGUAUAAAGCAUAAGUAUAUGAGGACUGACCCUAUAAAUGAGAAAGAGAAUAAAUUGGAGGCCACUGGGGUACAAUUCGGUAUAUUAACUCACCCUUGAUUUAAAUUUUAACCUAAUAGAAUGAAGUCACAGCUGGGUGGAGAGGAGAAUGGUUUCCUGCCAGUCAUUGUAGCUGCCCGGUCAGGAGAGAGAGGAACCACUUGUUCCCCAGUGGGUAACAACAUGGACAGAAGGGUUCAAGUUUCCUUACCUCACACAUCACCACAGACACACACAUGCGCACCAGCCAUUACAUUAUUUAGAAUAUUGGUUUAGUUGCGGAUAAAAAAGAUCCAAAAUAAUAGGGGUUGAAAGAAACCAAUUUAUUUGUCACACAUAAGUGGAUAAUUCCAUAAAUGGCAACUCCUUAUUUAUCUGGGACUCAGGAUGCUUCUACACUUUAUCUCCUCCACCCCUGGAAAGCGGCUGCAAUCCUCAUAGUCCACAAUAGGGAACCAGCAAUCAUUCCAUUUCCCAAAAAGUGUUAUAGAAGAAAGACUGUGGAAGGAACUUCAGAUUGUUAUCUAAUAUCUAGUUUCCCUUUCCAAAUGGAAGCCACAUGGCUGCUGGAACAAAAUUUCAUUUCCAGUCUCGUUGCAGCUAGAACUUCUGGGUAAUGGAAGGUGAGGAAAAGAGAUUAUGUGCGACUUCCUGGUUGUGUCAUUAAACACGGUGGCAAUGUACCACUUCUUCUCUUUCCUCCAUCUGGGACAAUGAGGUCAAAGGUCACUGGGCGCACAAUGGAGCCACUACAUCAAUGUUAACCUGCAUUGCCUGCAUUGAGGCUUUUUACAGGGGCCCAAGCUACCACCUUUCUAAGCACGAAUGACCAAUAAAGCGGAUGCUCCUCAAAAAAACAACAAAACAAAACCUUUACAAGGGAGACAAAUAAAUUUCUAUCUCUUUA